AUUGAACGCUGGCGGCAGGCUUAACACAUGCAAGUCGAGCGAGCGGCGGACGGGUGAGUAAUGUCUGGGAAACUGCCUGAUGGAGGGGGAUAACUACUGGAAACGGUAGCUAAUACCGCAUACCAUCAGAUGUGCCCAGACGGGAUUAGCUAGUAGGUGGGGUAAUGGCUCACCUAUGCGACGAUCCCUAGCUGGCCUGCGGGGAUGACCCGCCACACUGGAACUCGAGCACUGUCCAUGCUCCUACGUGAGGCAGCAUCUGGUAAUAUUGCACAAUGGGCGCGAGCCUGAUGCAUCCAGGCCGCGUGUGUGAAGAAGGCCUUCGGGUUGUAAAGCACUUUCAGCGAGGAGGCGUUACUCGCAGAAGAAGCACCGGCUAACUCCGUGCCAGCCGCCGCGGUAAUAC
rnacentral:rRNA from 1 species